rnacentral:lncRNA from 1 species
UUCAUGUUUAGUUUUAAAAAAUGUUACUAGAUUUCAGAAUUUUAUAAAGUUUUAAUAGCCCAAUAAUUUAAAGAAAAUAUUCAUAAACAAGAAAAGUAUACUUAUUUGCAAACCAUUCACUCAUUGAGUUACAAGCUCAUGUUUUGCCACCCUUUUUUUAGCAGAUAGCAGCAGAGUUGAGCAUCCUUGGAGCCUGUCGAUCCACCGAACUAAGCCACACACAUUGCCAUUAUUUGUAUGACUCAUUUUGUCAAUCUAUAGAAUUUAUAUCUUUUUUUUGACACACAUGUAUGUUUGUCGAAAAAAUUAAUUAGCAAGUCAUGUAUCCAUAUCUUGGGCUUACUGCAUAUUUGGUAUCUUUAGUGUUUUUGGGGUCUUUUGUUUGUAAAGCAUAGUAAAUAUCAACUUGCCAGCAUUUAAUUUUGAAUAAUUUGUAUUUUGAGGGACUAGAAUUUUGAAUAAUUUGUAUUUUGAGGGACUAGUGUAUCCUAUUUUAAAUUAUAUGAACGGAUUUGAAAAAAUUGGUUCUUGUUUAAAUGGUUUUAGUUCAUAUUUCAGGAAAAGCUCUGUCAAAAUGUUGUUAAAAAUAUUUUUCAGUCAAGUUGCCUUGGUAGUAUGUCCGGUAUUUAGCUGGUAUCUACCAUCGGUGCAUGACACGUGUUGAGUCCACUAAGGUGAUUUGGGAGAGGUCGUGUCAUGAUAUAUGUCCACGAAGACUCUAGACUAAGAAUUAUUCAUGGGGAUUUGAUAGUUAGCAACAUCCAUGAAUCCCAAAAUAUCUUAUUUUGGUCUCGCCAGGAUUUUUGGAGUAGUCCAAAACGAAGAAAACACCUAUGGAGUAGUUGGAACCUAGUGAUUUAUAAUCACACACCUAAAUGUUUGUAGACAAAUGACAGAGAUGACAAAUUAAAGGAAGGGCACUUCAGCCUUGACUUUUCUGAAUGUCCGAUUGCAAUGGGCAUAAGUCACCAGAAUAUGCAAUGGAAGGGCACUUUCAAUAAUGUCUAAUGUUUACAGUUUGGGGCUUUUACUGUUGGAGAUCAUCUGUGGCAGGAAGAAUAGCAGUUAUUUUCAAGACAAUACGAUGAAUUUGACUGGAUAUGUAAGUAUUUGCAUCUUUAAAAUCUAAACUGAAAUCAUUGCUUUAUUAUCAAGUUAUGCUCCAAAAAAUUCUUUGGGCUUGAUAGAACGAUGAAGACAUUGAUUGGAGUUAAACAGAGUGAAAUUAUUGUAGGUAAGUACAACUGAUUUUCAUCUCUCUAUUUCAGGUUUGGGACUUGUAGAGAGAAAAAGAGCAUUGGAUAUAGUAGAUUCAUCAGUCGACAACUCUUACGAAGACAACAAAGAUUUGAGGUGCAUUCUUGUUGGUCUUUUGUGCGUGCAAGAAUGUGCUCCUGAUCAGCCCACGAUGUCAGUAAUAGUUUUCAUGCUACAUACUGGAACAACUCUCAUCCUAAAGCAAACUUCAUCUAUCAUCAAGAAAGAUAGUACUACUCUAUACUCAUCACCAGCUAGUUUAAAAAUCAAAUAUGCGAAUAAUAUGUCAGUUAUCGUGGUUGAAGCUCCCUAAAGGCUUCCUGUAAAUACUUUCCUUUUUUAAUGUAGUUCAAGGGGUGUAUAUUAGCCCAAUAUGAGGCAAAAGGGGAAAAAAAUCAAAAAACAAAAAAAAAAAACAAAAACAAAAAACAAAAACAAAAUCUGUGCCAACAUAAAUGUUCCUUGUAUUUGACACUAUUGAUGCAUAGAGUUGAUGUAUACAUUCAGUAC